GUGAAAUUCAAGUACACUGUAACCUGACCUUAAACAAUUAUCAUUACAUUCACAACACUGAACUAACUACAUAUGGACAUCUCUCUAUCUCUAACUAUGGAGAGAGACACAUGGGAACGAACAACAUUUCUUGACAAUCGACAUAAUUGGCCUACAUGCAAAAAUUGAACUGCCUAUAUUGCAUUCGAGGUAGCAAUUUAGAGACAUUUCUUUCUGCAAUGGCAUCUUUAUGUGGCUCUAUUUCUGCUGCUGCUAGUGCCAGUACAUAAUUAGCAACAAAACUUCCAAGGGAUGUGGAGCUAGUGGAUUGAUGACGAGAAUGCGGAAAAAAUAUGAACUAAAUCAAUGAUCAUAGUGAAAGACAUUGUACCCUAUCAGGGAGAUUUUGAGGCAUUGGGAACGCAGUUACGUAUCUUUGCAGAAAAGGUUUAUGGCUAUGUGCAGAAGCAUCUGUUGAAGAUGACUCAGCACCACCGGAUUGCCCCCGACCAUGAAACCUUGCAAAUCGAUAGAAGACUGAGAACUUCUCCAGCUCUUGUCCUUCAACUAUCACAUCUAAUAGAGACGCUCUCUUGUCCAAACUCACAAAGUUACUUUCUAACUUCCUAGCUUUUCCCAUCAACUCAUCCAUAGCUCUGCCGAAGUGAUGUCUAUCAUUUCUCUCAGAUGCCUUGCACUUGUCAGGAAGAUGUUCUUUGCCAUCAUGAGGCAUAUUGGUAUCAGCGUUCAAGCAAGAGACCAUGCUGCAUGCAUCCCCCAAUGCCAAUCUGGAAAUGGAGUAAGCCACACUCUCAUACUCCGAUUUAGCAUCAGCAAAUAGAAUUGCUGCGGGCGGAGGAUAAAAUAGUUGCUGCAUAAGCUGAGUGGUCAACAUAAGCCUUCUUCUAGCCUUAAGCCUUGGUGGCCCAUCAUCAAAAGAAUCAAUUUCUUUAACCUUUUCAGUAAGCCUAUUAACU
rnacentral:misc_RNA from 1 species